UACGAAGGGGGCUAGCGUUGCUCGGAAUCACUGGGCGUAAAGGGUGCGUAGGCGGGUUAUUAAGUCAGAGGUGAAAUCCUGGAGCUCAACUCCAGAACUGCCUUUGAUACUGAUAGUCUUGAGUAUGGGAGGAGGUGAGUGAACUGCGAGUGUAGAGGUGAAAUUCGUAGAUAUUCGCAAGAACACCAGUGGCGAAGGCGGCUCACUGGCCCAUUACUGACGCUGAGGCACGAAAGCGUGGGGAGCAAACAGGG
rnacentral:rRNA from 1 species